rnacentral:rRNA from 1 species
GAUGUGGAUUAAUUCGAUGCAACGCGAAAAACCUUACCUACCCUUGACAUGGUCGGAAUCCUGCUGAGAGGUGGGAGUGCUCGAAAGAGAACCGGCGCACAGGUGCUGCAUGGCUGUCGUCAGCUCGUGUCGUGAGAUGUUGGGUUAAGUCCCGCAACGAGCGCAACCCUUGUCCUUAGUUGCUACGCAAGAGCACUUUAAGGAGACUGCCGGUGACAAACCGGAGGAAGGUGGGGAUGACGUCAAGUCCUCAUGGCCCUUAUGGGUAGGGCUUCACACGUCAUACAAUGGUCGGAACAGAGGGUUGCCAACCCGCGAGGGGGAGCUAAUCCCAGAAAACCGAUCGUAGUCCGGAUUGCACUCUGCAACUCGAGUGCAUGAA